GACGAACGCUGGCGGCGUGCCUAAUACAUGCAAGUAGAACGCUGAAGGAGGAGCUUGCUCUUCUGGAUGAGUUGCGAACGGGUGAGUAACGCGUAGGUAACCUGCCUGGUAGCGGGGGAUAACUAUUGGAAACGAUAGCUAAUACCGCAUAACAGUAGAUGUUGCAUGACAUUUACUUAAAAGGUGCAAUUGCAUCACUACCAGAUGGACCUGCGUUGUAUUAGCUAGUUGGUGGGGUAACGGCUCACCAAGGCGACGAUACAUAGCCGACCGGAGAGGGAGGACCGCCAAACUGGGAAUUGGGCACGGCCCAGGCGCCUACGGGAGGCAGCAGUAGGGAAACUUCGGCAAUGGGCGGAAGUCUUAACGAGCAACGCCGCGGGAGGGAAGAAGGGUUUCGGAGCGUAAAGCUCUGUUGUAAGGGAAGAACGAGUGUGGGAGUGGAAAGUUCAGACUGUGACGGUAUCUGACCAGAAAGCAACGGCUAACUACGUG
rnacentral:rRNA from 1 species